AUUGAACGCUGGCGGCAGGCUUAACACAUGCAAGUCGAGCGAGCGGCGGACGGGUGAGUAAUGUCUGGGAAACUGCCUGAUGGAGGGGGAUAACUACUGGAAACGGUAGCUAAUACCGCGUACCAUAGGAUGAGCCCAAGUGGGAUUAGGUAGUUGGUGAGGUAAAGGCUCACCAAGUCGACGAUCUCUAGCUGGUCUGAGAGGAUGACCAGCCACACUUGGACUGAGACACGGUCCAGACUCCUACGGGAGGCAGCAGUGGAGAAUAUUGCGCAAUGGGGGCAACCCUGGCGCAGCCAUGCCGCGUGAAUGAAGAAGGCCUUCGGGUUGUAAAGUUCUUUCAGUGGGGAGGCGUUACCUGCAGAAGAAGCACCGGCUAACUCCGUGCCAGCAGCCGCGGUAAUUC
rnacentral:rRNA from 1 species